CCUACGGGUGGCAGCAGUGAGGAAUAUUGGUCAAUGGACGGAAGUCUGAACCAGCCAUGCCGCGUGCAGGAAGACGGCUCUAUGAGUUGUAAACUGCUUUUGUACAAGGGUAAACCUGAAUACGUGUAUUCAGCUGAAAGUACUUUACGAAUAAGCAUCGGCUAACUCCGUGCCAGCAGCCGCGGUAAUACGGAGGAUCCAAGCGUUAUCCGGAUUUAUUGGGUUUAAAGGGUGCGUAGGCGGAUUGAUAAGUUAGAGGUGAAAUGUCCGAGCUUAACUCGGGAACUGCCUCUAAUACUGUUGGUCUAGAGAGUAGAUGAGGUAGGCGGAAUGUAUGGUGUAGCGGUGAAAUGCUUAGAGAUCAUACAGAACACCGAUUGCGAAGGCAGCUUACCAAUCUAUAUCUGACGUUGAGGCACGAAAGCGUGGGGAGCAAACAGGAUUAGAUACCCUAGUAGUC
rnacentral:rRNA from 1 species